CGACGCCGCGUGAGGGAUGACGGCCUUCGGGUUGUAAACCUCUUUCGACCGGGACGAAGCGAGAGUGACGGUACCGGUAUAAGAAGCACCGGCUAACUACGUGC
rnacentral:rRNA from 1 species